rfam:Felis catus isolate Cinnamon breed Abyssinian chromosome A1, whole genome shotgun sequence.
ACCUGGUUGGUUCAGUCAGUUGAGCGUCCGACUUCGACUCGGGUCAUGAUCUCACGGUUCAUGGGUUCAAGCCCCACAUCGGGCU